CUCAAUAUUCAGUGAGUGUGGAGAGACCAUGUCCAAUGGAAACAGUCACUUUCACCUGCACUGCUCCUGGGGAUUCUUUGAGACGGGAACCAUCAGAUGUUUCUCGCAUCACUAUCCGUCCUACAACCUCUGGUCUUAAUGUACCACUAAUGCCUCAACCAGGUUACACUGUGACACUGAUUGCAUUCAAUGACACUACAUUAACAUCUACUCUGUCAAGAACAGCAGAGAAUGGGAUCACUGUGUCCUGUGUGGGGGGGUUUGUGGACUCACUGCUUACUCAAACCACAAUAGGAUCUUCAACAAUCCAAUUAGUUGAUCCACCAGGACUAUCUUCUAUCCUAAUUAGACACUCCACUCUGAGUAGCUCAACCAAUGAAGUUAGUGUAUCUAUGCAGUGGGACCCUCCUACUGAGACUGGUGGUAGAGAUGACCUCACCUACACAGUGACCAUCUCACCUCUAGCCCAGCUCUCUGCUACUGUCCUCACAUCCACCUCUGUCACUGUGACUGCUCAAUACAAUGUGGACUACACUGUCAGUGUUGUGGCUACCAACUGUGCUGGGAACAGUACAACUGCUGGGUACAACUUUAGGAUGGUAACUCGACAGAUUCUUUUAAAGUUUAUAAACCAUUUUCCAUACAAAUAAUUAAUGUUUCGUUCAGAUGGCUGUCCUGUGUUGACCAACCCCAUGAAUGGAGCCUUUGAACCAGUCUCCAGCAGAUUGCCAGGAUCCAUAGUAACCAUCCAGUGUGGCGAUGGGUAUGUAUCUGCUGUUACGAUGGUGACAUGUGAGGGUACACUGAUGUGGAGUCCAGACCCUGAGGCUAUUGAGUGUACAGCACUAACUACACCUACUCCCACAACUCUCCCCCCUCCAAUCAACUGCAAGGCUUCACUACCACCACCACGGAAUGGCACCAUCAGUGAUCAUUCAGUACCAGCUAUUCCCGGUACACAAGUGACAUUCCAGUGUGACGAUGAACUGUUCCCUGAGGGCAUAAUGACUGCCACCUGUCUCGCUACAGGAGAGUGGGAUAGGAACACGGGGGAGAUCGUCU